GGUAAUGUGGCUGAGUUUAGGCGAUAAAUUGUAAAUUUAUUAACGAAUUUUUAAUUCCAUUACCA
rnacentral:tRNA from 1 species